rnacentral:rRNA from 1 species
UACGUAGGGUGCGAGCGUUGCCCGGAUUUAUUGGGCGUAAAGGGCGCGUAGGCGGCCACGCACGUCCGUUGUGAAAUCGCCCGGCUCAACUGGGCGGGGUCAGCGGAUACGGUGUGGCUCGAGCAAGCUAGGGGGCAAUGGAAUUCCCGGUGUAGUGGUGGAAUGCGUAGAUAUUGGGAAGAACACCAGUGGCGAAAGCGGACUUCUGGGUUGUUACUGACGCUGAGGUACGAAAGCGUGGGGAGCAAACGGG